GGCUAUGUAGCUCAGCCGGUUAGAGCACAGCACUCAUAAUGCCGGGGUCACUGCAGUAGAAAUCUGAAAACUUGGCUA
rnacentral:tRNA from 1 species